UACAGAGGGGGCAAGCGUUGUUCGGAAUUACUGGGCGUAAAGGGCGCGUAGGCGGCCUGCUAAGUCGAACGUGAAAUCCCUGGGCUCAACCCAGGAACUGCGUCCGAUACUGGUUGGCUUGAAUCCGGGAGAGGGAUGUGGAAUUCCAGGUGUAGCGGUGAAAAUGCGUAGAUAUCUGGAGGAACACCGGUGGCGAAGGCGACAUCCUGGACCGGCAUUGACGCUGAGGCGCGAAAGCGGUGGGGAGCAAACAGG
rnacentral:rRNA from 1 species